rnacentral:rRNA from 1 species
ACAGAACGUCUCCUCAAAAUCAAACCUGACUACACUCCCCUUCGUGUCUUUGGUUGUGCUUGCUGGCCCAACCUUCGCCCAUACAACACUAGGAAGCUUAUGUUCCGCUCUAAGCAAUGUGUGUUCUUAGGCUACAGUGCGCAACACAAAGGGGUUAAGUGUCUAGAUGUCUCCACCGGUCGUGUUUACAUCUCUCGCGAUGUAGUAUUUGAUGAAACUCUAUUUCCCUUCGACAAACUCCACCCCAACGCCGGUGCUCUUCUUCACAAAGAAAUCCUCCUCCUUCCUUCCCAUCUCUCUGGCGUUGAUCAUGGGGGUAAUGAUGAUUGUGGUGAUCAACGUUUAACUAAUACUCCUAAUCCUAUGCCUGAGCAUGUUGUGGCAGGA